rnacentral:rRNA from 1 species
GGUAGAUAAUUACUGUACCCGUAGAAUAAGCACCGGCUAGCUUCGUGCCAGCAGCCGCGGUAAUACGAAGGGUGCAAGCGUUACUCGGAAUUACUGGGCGUAAAGCGUGCGUAGGUGGUUCGUUAAGUCUGAUGUGAAAGCCCUGGGCUCAACCUGGGAAUUGCACUGGAUACUGGCGGGCUAGAGUGCGGUAGAGGAUGGCGGAAUUCCUGGUGUAGCAGUGAAAUGCGUAGAGAUCAGGAGGAACAUCCGUGGCGAAGGCGGCCAUCUGGACCAGCACUGACACUGAGGCACGAAAGCGUGGGGAGCAAA